CUAUGCUUAGCCCUAAACAUAAAUAAUUUAAAAACAAAAUUAUUCGCCAGAGAACUACUAGCCACAGCUUAAAACUCAAAGGACUUGGCGGUACUUUAUAUCUGCCUAGAGGAGCUUGUUCUAUAAUCGAUAAACCCCGUUACACCUUACCACCCCUUGCUAAUUCAGCCUAUAUACCGCCAUCUU
rnacentral:rRNA from 1 species